rnacentral:rRNA from 1 species
UAUACCGUGAAACUGCGAAUGGCUCAUUAAAUCAGUUAUCGUUUAUUUGAUAGUACCUUACUACUUGGAUAACCGUGGUAAUUCUAGAGCUAAUACAUGCUAAAAACCCCAACUUCGGGAGGGGUGUAUUUAUUAGAUAAAAAACCAAUGCCCUUCGGGGCUCUUUGGUGAUUCAUGAUAACUUCUCAGAUUCGCAUGGCCUUGCGCCGGCGACGGUUCAUUCAAAUUUCUGCCCUAUCAACUUUCGAUGGUAAGGUAUUGGCUUACCAUGGUUUCAACGGGUAACGGGGAAUUAGGGUUCGAUUCCGGAGAGGGAGCCUGAGAAACGGCUACCACAUCCAAGGAAGGCAGCAGGCGCGCAAAUUACCCAAUCCCGACACGGGGAGGUAGUGACAAUAAAUACUGAUACAGGGCUCUUUUGGGUCUUGUAAUUGGAAUGAGUACAAUUUAAACCUCUUAACGAGGAACAAUUGGAGGGCAAGUCUGGUGCCAGCAGCCGCGGUAAUUCCAGCUCCAAUAGCGUAUAUUAAAGUUGUUGCAGUUAAAAAGCUCGUAGUUGAACCUUUGGCCUGGCUGGCAGGUCCGCCUCACCGCGUGCACUUGUCCGGCCGGGCCUUCUCUUCUGGAGAACCGCAUGCCCUUCACUGGGUGUGUUGGGGACCAGGACUUUUACUUUGAAAAAAUUAGAGUGUUCAAAGCAGGCCUUUGCUCGAAUACGUUAGCAUGGAAUAAUAGAAUAGGACGUGCGGUCCUAUUUUGUUGGUUUCUAGGACCGCCGUAAUGAUUAAUAGGGACAGUCGGGGGCAUCAGUAUUCAAUUGUCAGAGGUGAAAUUCUUGGAUUUAUUGAAGACUAACUACUGCGAAAGCAUUUGCCAAGGAUGUUUUCAUUAAUCAGUGAACGAAAGUUAGGGGAUCGAAGACGAUCAGAUACCGUCGUAGUCUUAACCAUAAACUAUGCCGACUAGGGAUCGGGCGGUGUUUUUAUUAUGACCCGCUCGGCACCUUACGAGAAAUCAAA